GUGGAUGUAGCUCAGUUGGUAGAGCCCCGGAUUGUGAUUCCGGUUGUCGUGGGUUCGAGCCCCAUCAUUCACC
rfam:Acinetobacter sp. ANC 3994 genomic scaffold acLZV-supercont1.12, whole genome shotgun sequence.